rnacentral:misc_RNA from 1 species
UGUUCCCUCGUUGCGUGGCUGUUCUAUACCUACACCGAUCCACACACACACACACACAUAUAUACGUAUAUAUAUAUAUAUAUACGCACGUACAUACAACGUGUUGUGCGUCUUCUCGCUUACUCGCCCUGCCCUCUUGCCUUGUCUCCUCUCCGUGCUGCCUGCGUGCGCACAUCCGCCAGUCCUGUCGCACAUCCUUGAGAGCUGCUGGAGCGGGGUGAGCAGCGCCUGGGGCAGCACAAAGACGGCUCAUGGAUCGAUCAACUCCGCCAUUCAUGCCACUGUGCCAGUCGCGGAAGCAGAGUGGUGCCUCGGCAACACCGGUGCUCACCCCCAACGCUGACGACAGAGACGACUUCGCCGAUGUCGACGACAACAACAGCGGCGUCGGCUUUGAUAGCACCACGGUGUUGCUCUGCGGCAGCGCACAUCAACCUGCCAACAAGCCGGCUGACGGGCCCAGCGGCGGCAGCAGCACCAGCGGCGGUAACACAGGUGCUUCUCCGUACACGAUGUUCGAACCAGCUUACGCGCAGCAACAGCAAGGCGUGCUGGGGUCAGUGCUUCCGGAUGAGAAAGCCGUCGCUGCAGCGGGCUGGUGCGGCGGCUCCGUGUUCCCGGCUCCGGACGCCUCUUACUCGCAGCCCUUGCCGCGCCUACUGCCGCCCCCCUACGUCAACACCGCGUCAGCGCGGCCGCCUUUCACAGCUGGCAGUUUAGGCAUUCUCGGUUCAGGCACCACCGUCGAGGGAGUGUCUGCACCACCAUCGGCCUCUGCGUACUCGCCGUCGACCACAGCGGCAGAGUCCGCCACUGGAGCGCCGGUCAACGUGGCAGCCUCAACAGACGUGCUGGAGGUGCCACUGCACGCACCGCGGCUGCGCGUCCCCACCAACCUUCCGCUGGAGCAGACGACAUUGCUCGACCUCCUCGCCACCGCCGUCGUGCAAGGCGGGCCAACGACGGAGGAGGAGAUUGUGAAGCGCGAGAUGGGGCGCGGCAACCCGGCCUUCGCGUUCCUGGGCGAGAAGUUCAACCAUCCAUGUAUGCUGUACUACCGCUGGCGACUGUACUCCCUGCUGCAGGGCGACACGCUCGUCUCGUGGCGCACGCAGCCCUUCCAGAUCGAGGAGGCGCGGCGCGCCUACGUGUGGGUGCCGCCGCCACCGCUCAAGGUCGGCCCGGAGUGCCUCGUCGGGCUGCACCAGCCAGAGCUGCUGGAUCCGGCCUUCGCAACGGGCAGCGGUGGCGACGCGGCAGCGACAGUGGGCGGUGCCGAAGAGGAAGACGGCGCGGACGUGAUUGUGCGCACGGCGCGUCCCCGCCGCCGCCGCCAUCACCGCGGCCGAAGCGCCGAAGACGGGACGAACUAUAAAAGGAGCCGCCAUGAGGCGGGCGACGACACGGACCAUGCAAACCGCAGCCGCGGUCGCAGCGGUAGCAGCAGCAGCAGCAGCAGCGGAAGCAGCAGCAGCAGCAGCAGCAGCAGCAGUGAAUCGGAAGGCGAGCAAGAUGAGCGGAAGGGCGGUAGAGGUGCCACUUUGGCCGGGCGCGGUGAUGGCGACGAGGAGACGACGAAAGCCAAGAGUCAACCCCUCGGGCAAUCUCCCGCCGGCACAAGCGCAGAGGCCCCGUCCUCUGAAGCAGCAGCGGACGCUGCCCACGUUCGGCUGCCACCGCCGUCUGCGCAGUGGAUCUCGCGCCAGUGCACGGCGCACCGGCACGUUUUCGCGAUCCUGCAGCCGCAUCUGCUGGAGAAGUGGACGGCGCUGCUGAACCCCUACGCGAUGGCAGACCCUGCCACCACGGGCGAUGGCGGCAUCGCGGCUCUCUGCGAGCGAUGGUUGCGACGAGACGAGAUUGCAUCUCGCAUGGCGUUCGCCAUUCGACACGCUGACGCGAUGCAUCACCUGCUCAGCGUCCUGCUGGAUGCGGUUGUGAAGGUGGCAUAUGUGGCGACGGCGCGAUCGCGUCAGCAGCCAACCGCUUCCGUCGAUCUCAUCGACAGCAACGUCUACUGCGUGGAGGCGCUGUGGUACCUCUUCGUGCUUCACGACAUCGUGAUGAACGCGUCCAACACACCGGAGCCGUCCGCGACGUCGGCGACGAGCGUGAACAAGAACGUCUCGAACCGGCAGCAGCCGCAGCAGGUGCUCUCCACCGCUGCGGGAAUGAGCGGCGCGACUUUGGCUGGUCGAAUCGGCUUGGAUGAGGAACUCUUUGCCUCCGAGGGAAGUCCGGAAGCACUGGAAGCUCUCUACGAGGUCUUCCGUCGCCAGCACAUGGCUAUCCGUGCAGGCGCAUCAACGCCACCGUCGCCCGCGGCUGCAGCAGGAACAUCAUCAGCGACAGCGACUGCAGUGUCGCCAUCGUCGGCGCUAGGGUCGACUCCGCGUCCUCGGCGCCGUCAGCGCCACCCGCAGCGGCGCUCGCCUUACGAGCGGUGCGGCGAUGCGCUGGAAAUGAUACUUCCGACGCUGAUGGAGGCGUGCACGGCGAUCGCUCUGGCGGUGUCCAUGGACAAGGAACGGCAGCGGUCGCAGGCGGCCGAGACAGCGCCAACUGCAGCGGCUCGAGUCCGCCACUUCAAAGUUCUGCCCCCACAGCAGCAGCAGCAGUCGAAGGCGAAAGGAAAGUCGAAGGCCUCGGAGCACGAGUCGGCGAUGACGUCCUCGUCCACGACGCUGCCCGUCGGCGGAGGCCCUGCUCUGUCGUUAAGGCUCGACGCAGGAUGUGACGCGGCCUCCGUGGCGAAGACGCCGUCGUCCACGCUGCCUCUCUCCUCCCCAUCCGCGGAGGGAAGCGGCUGCACAUCUGCUGGUGGCGGCGCGGACACGGCCGCGCCAUCGACGUCAUCGGCCCCGGCGGUGAUGCUGCUUCACUGGCUCAAGGGGUUCCUCCUCGUUUGGAUGAACGCGGAGCAGCCGCUGCAGCUGCCACCAUCACCAUCGCCGUCAGCGGGAGCAGGAAUGGCAGCCGGAGCCGUCCUACCUCCCGGCACGGUGUGGCCAGACUGUCAGGCCGACGCGGCGGACAUGCCGGACGUGAGUCUCACGUACCAUGUGGAUCCACAGAACGCGUCGCUGCUCGGGCUCGACGCGGCAUCGCAGCAGCAACGUAACGUCUAUCAUCAACCGCCGCUGCUGAGCGCGCGUGCGUGCGCGAUCUUGAAGGAUCGCUAUAGCUUCUUGUUUUGAGUUUUCUUUUUCGGAGUAAGGCAACGAAGGGGGGGGGGGGGCGUUGGCCAGCAGCACAGAGAGGCGGUGACAUCGUGACCGCGUCGCGUUGACGGAAUGAAUUUGAUUGGCGUAGCUGAGCAACGCGUGUGCUGCCGUGCGUCUCAGUCAAGAUGGGGGUGGGAGGGAGGGGCGUUGGGCGUUGGACGAGAUGAGACGCACACGUCGCUGUAUCUCGUUCUCGGCCACCCACCGACCUACCCACCCCCGCCUCUGGUGCUGCUGUUGCUGCGCUGUAAUGGUUAACUUGUAUGUGUGCGCAUGCCUUGUUGGUGUGAGCAUAUGGUCGUGGACGCAGCUGGGCGGAGACGGUCCUCUCCAUCGUCGCGUUGCGACGGUGGCACGCCACCCCUGCACGGAAACCGUAGCACGAACAC